rnacentral:misc_RNA from 1 species
GAACGCAUAUUGCACUCUCUGGUAUUCCGGGGAGUAUGCCUGUUUGAGGGUCAGUAAAUAACAAUUAUCAUAAUCUUUUGAUUGUGGAAUUGGGCCUUUAUUUCAUUUUAAUGAUUUAUGGCCUUAAAUUUAUGUUACCGCUUGUUUAAUAUGAAAUUCGACCGAAUGGAGCAAUUAAACAUUCUCUCGUUAGGCGAAUUCAUCAAGCAAUUACGAUUUUUUGGCCGUCGAAGCACUUUUUUUUUAGAAGUGCUUGGUCUCGAUUGUAAGAUACAUUUUUAACAAUGACCUCAAAUCAGGCAAGAAUACCCGCUGAACUUAAG